rnacentral:rRNA from 1 species
AACGAACGCUGGCGGCAGGCCUAACACAUGCAAGUCGAGCGCGCCCUCCGGGGUGAGCGGCGGACGGGUGAGUAACGCGUGGGAACGUGCCCUUUUCUACGGAAUACCCUCGGGAAACGGAGAGUAAUACCGUAUACGCCCUUUGGGGGCAGGAUUUAUCGGAGAAGGAUCGGCACGCGUUGGAUUAGGUAGUUGGUGUGGUAAUGGCCCACCACGCCGACGAUCCAUAGCUGGGUUGAGAGGAUGAUCAGACACACUGGGACUGAGACGCGGCCCGGACUCCUACGGGAGGCAGCAGUGGGGAAUCUUAGACAAUGGGGGCAACCCUGAUCUAGCCAUGCCGCGUGAGUGAUGAAGGCCUUAGGGUUGUAAAGCUCUUUCAGCUGGGAAGAUAAUGACGGUACCAGCAGAAGAAGCCCCGGCUAACUCCGUG